CGAUUUCUUAUGCAUGGAAGAUGCUAAACAUAUUGGCCUUAAGCAAAAACUAAUAAAAAAUCUUGAUUAGAUUUAAUGUAAUUAUUGUAAAGAAUAUUCCCACUUCACAUGAUUUCUCCUCUUCGGUACAAUUAAUUGAAGAAAGUUUUGGAGCCCACUUACUAGCCAGUCAAGAUAUGUGCCAGCUUCAAGAGCAUUUGAUUUAAUGGCUUCAGAAUGAAGAGCUGGACAAGGAGCCGUGUGUGAAAAAUGAGGACCUAAAGUCGAAGAGCGGCAGAAUGGACUGGGAACAUCCUACAAGUUAUAUGGGGAGGCCAGACGUCAGCUGGAUGAUACCAAAAAGGAAGUCGAGGAGGUCUAUGCUGAGCUUGUCAUUCCAGAACUCGAUUCUGUAAGAACCGAGGCAUUCACUACUCUUGUUAGUUGGAGAGAGCCACCACCUGGAAUUUGUGGCAUACACUGAAAAAA